GCACACAUAUAUAACUUAUCCAUAACUUAAUUGUUAAUUUAGUUAUUGAGAGCUACAGGCAAAGUAGGCAAGCCAUGCACUGAUGCAUAGAACAUUUAUUCUCAAACAAUAAUGCAAUUAAUCGUCCUCUAAACCUAGAAAAUUUGAUAUGCUCUUGAGAUCCAAUGCAUCAGAUGGUUGAAAAAGGUUUGCAUCGUCAUUGCUAUUGCCCAUCAAAACAUCGAGCUCGGCUUCGACUGCUGAUGAAACUGGAAAAUCCCAACAUUUUCCAUCCUCCGUUGUUCCAUGCCAACCAUUAAUCUCUCGGGAUUGGUCCAACACAGAUGAGUUUGGCGUCUCCAUUGAAAGAAAGUCGUUAAUGUCAAAAUCCAAACAUUUGUCUUCGUGUAAUAUUGCUGAUGAAGAAGAACAAGGCCUCUCGCUCUCCAUUUUCUUCUCAGCUGCCUCAUCAUCAUUAUUAUUAUUAUAACAUAGUGGUUCAGGAACGACGAUAACCUUGCUGCAUCGUACGGCUUUGGUUCGAAUAACUCGGUGUGAUGAUGUAGCUGCUGGAGGAUUAUUCAAGUACAAUUGUGAUUGAUUGUGCAUGGGUUUUCUUCCUUUGAAAUCGUUCGCUUGUUUCUUGGAAGCUGAAGUACCAUUAAUCUUCUUUUCUUCGACUUUCUUUCUUAAAUAGGUGUUCCAAUAAUUCUUGAUAUCAUUGUCUGUUCUACCCGGUAACCUUCCAGCAAUGAGUGACCACCUGUUUCCGAGGAGCUUGUGAAGUCUGAUAAUAAGCUCGUCUUCAUCUGCAGAAAAACUACCUCUCUUAAUGUCUGGCCUGAGAUAGUUCAACCACCGAAGUCUGCAACUCUUUCCACAUCGCUUCAACCCAGCUCUUCGAGGAAGAUCCGUCCACUUGCCUUCUCCAUGGACUUUAAUGUAGCUAAUGAGAAGUUUAUCUUCCCAAGCAGACCAUAUUCCUCUGUUCACUUCUUCUUUGACACAACAUGGUUUCCUUCCCAUUUCUUUACUCUCCUAUAUCUCUUUGUUUCCCUCUGCUUGGGAGCCCCGGCAUGCAUGAUUAUGUCUGUG
rnacentral:misc_RNA from 1 species